rnacentral:lncRNA from 1 species
AUAUAGAAAUUUGAAAUUUCUUCAUUAUAAAAAGUAUUGCAUAAAUUGAAGAUCAAUUAUGCAAAGCACACAGGGUAAAUUAAAACUCUUAUUAUUUUGAGAGUCGCACAUUAUGAGCAAUAAGGCUCAUAAUUACGCCCACUUUUCACACAUAAAAAAGCAACAUCAUUUAUUCCAUCCAGUUGAAAUUAUUUAAAUAUAGGAAACAUGCAUAUUUCAAAUUUGAGUAUUUUUUUUUCAUUGGUAUUACAUCUAUCACUUUCGAGAAUAACCAUAUCCUCUGCCUUGAUUGUUUCCUCCUUGGGUUUGAUUACCCCAACCUCCACCUUGAAUUACUCCCUGAGUAUUAUUUGAUCCACAUUGAGUACUUCCUCCUUCAGUGGGUCCUAUCAGGAUCUUAGACCCUUGUCCGCAUAGAAUGGUUGGUCCUUGAUUAUUACCCCAUCCUCCGUUUUGAUCAUUUCCUCCCUGAUUAUUACUCCAAUAUCCUCCUUGGUUGGCCAUUAUUUCACUCAGAGAGACUUGACAACUUCGCUAGAAUGUUUUUGUGAAAUAUUUUUGUAUCCCUCAACUUUU